AAAGAGUUCCUAAAAUUAGAGGGGGAAUGAAGCCAGAAAUAGAUAGACAGUGUAGAUAGGUAAAUCGAGUAAGGAGGCCAAUUUUGAGUGAGUCUGGAAAGUUGAAAACUGUCCCCGGAGGGUUACUGUUUACUCUAAAAUUACCCUAGUGUCAACCUUAGUAGGACCACUUGUGAACAAGCUAAUGGCUUUCAUCAAGGACAGAGUAAACACAGUUCAGAUGUUGGUUCUGCAUACACACUAUCAAGUCCUAGACCCAGAAGGAGAAUCCUACCAAGUGUAGGGCCUGCCCAUAUAGACCUCCAACUGAGGGAACCAUGAUUGGUUCUCUAGUUUCUAGACAAAGGGGGGAAUGAGAAACUAAUGUGACUCCAUUUUUAAAAAUA
rnacentral:lncRNA from 1 species